GAUAAAGACUGUAGACGUCUUUGCCCCGAUUUGUCUUUCUUCCAACAAGCCACAGAGUACCCAUGUGAAGUUUUAAUAAACUCAUCGUCCAGUGUGGAGAAUUUACGGAAACGUGUUGAACAAUGUGUCCUUCAGUCUGAAACAGUUGCUAAAAAUAGACUUGGAAUUACCUUAAAUGUAGUUUCAAAGAAACGUACCCACAGUGAUGAAUACUCUGUACUACCUGAUGGUAAAGAGGCACACUGGGAAGUUGUAGAAA
rnacentral:sRNA from 1 species